GCCUGGCUGGCUCAGUUGGUAGAGCAUGCAACUCUUGAUCUCAGGGUCGUGAGUUCAAGCCCCAUGUUGGGCA
rfam:Felis catus isolate Cinnamon breed Abyssinian chromosome B2, whole genome shotgun sequence.